UACGGAGGGUGCGAGCGUUAAUCGGAAUCAUUGGGCGUAAAGCGCAUGUAGGCGGUCCAGUAAGUCUGAUGUGAAAUCUCCGGGCUCAACCCGGAAACUGCAUCCGAUACUGGCGGACUUGAGGAAGGUAGAGGAGAGUGGAAUUCCCGGUGUAGCGGUGGAAUGCGCAGAUAUCGGGAGGAACACCAAUGGCGAAGGCAGCUCUCUGGGCCUUUCCUGACGCUGAGGUGCGAAAGCGUGGGUAGCCAACAGG
rnacentral:misc_RNA from 1 species